UUGCUGUUGGCGAUCACAACAACAGGAAGCGACUGUGAAAUAGGCUCCUAUACACCAUUCGGUUGUUAAAACGAAACACGCACACACACACACACACACACACACACACACACACACACACACUCCACCUUCAAGAAACAUCAGGCCUUAACUUCACAGAAGAGGACUGCGUGGAAGGAUCAAUACCAUUUCUGUACAUAAUCAAACAAGAAGACACUUUCAACACAAACGUCUACAUACACCCCACAAACCAAGAACACUGCCUUAGUGGAAUAAAUCGAGUGCCCACAACGCUACAAAGACUCCACCAUCGGCGCAUACUUAGAAGAGCCUUAAGGCACUGCAGCACAUGGAAGCAAAUUCAUAACGAAAUAGAGCGCUCAACCCACGUACUUAUCAACAAUGGUUUCUGCGAAGAAAACUCCCAACGACAAAUAAAGAAAAUUCCUGACAUCUGGUUUAACACACGCAGUAAGGAUGAAAACAACAAAGAAAAAAUCAACUUGUACUACAAAGCUACGUUUUCCACAACAUACAAAGAAGAGAGAAAAAUGAAGAACAUCGUGAAGAAAAGCAUCAAGUCCACCAACCCAAACAAAACGUUCAACUUCGUAAUAUACUACAAAACAUAGACUAGCCAUCUACUCAAGAACAGCCCAAGCAAAGACAAAGAGACACUUCAGAAAUCUCAUGUUAUUUAUAGGUUCACGUACAACAGAGGGAACUGCGAAGCCCUCCCAUCAACCUACAUUGGCAUGACAACGACGAGGCUGUCCCGCCGCCUCUGCUAGUAUUUUGCCGCGGGGGCACCCGAAAAUCACCUAAAGCAAAUACACAAUACCACUCUCACAAGAAAGAUUUUAUAAGAAAAUACAACCAUCAUCAACCACCUGCAGCGACAACACACGCCUCACAAUAAUGGAAACAUUAUACAUAAAAGAAAUAUUCCCCAAACUCUACAUCCAGGCAGAGGAUCUCCAAACCCUCCCCAGAGUGCCACGCGAAGCAGUGAACAGCCAAUCAGACAUGAGGGACCGUGCUCGCACUACACAGAAAACGAAAUAUAACGCGGCUCCCUCACUUCCCAAGCCAUUCGCUCACCAGCGUCCAAAGGAGUAGGACGUCCAACUCUCCUUCAUACUUCCCUUACUUUUACACUUCUCUGUCCAACCCCUUCCAGACCUCCAUCUUUCCAAAAAGGAAAAAGAAGAAAAAAAAAAAAAAUCCACGCCUAGCAUCUUGCCGAAGGGGCACCUAUAAGAAUCACCUAGAGCAAAUACACACCACCACUCUCACAAGAAAGAUUUAGGAAGAAAAUACAAGUAUCUGCAGCGACAACAGACACCUCACGACAAUGAAAGCAUUAUGCAUAAGAGAAAUAUUCCCCAAACUUAAAUCCAGGCUGAGGAUCUCCAAACCCUCCCCAGUGUGCGACGCAGGCAGUGAACAGCCAAUCAGAAGAUAGAACGUCUCGGCCAUUCAGACACGAGGAACCGCGCAGGCACCAAAUACAAAAACGGAAUAUAAUGCGGCUCCCUUACUACCUAAGCCAUUCGUCCUCCAGCUACCAAAGAAGCAGGACGUCCUGCUCCGCUAAAGAAGGUUCAGGUGAGCCGGAAUCUGGAUAUGGAAAACCUAUACGAAACUGCCUGUCAUAAACACGCUUACAAAAGAAUUAAGGACAUUAAUAAGAAACAAAAACACGUGCAAGAUGAUAAAUGUUGAGUCAGCAGUCACAUCUAAUGAAACAACUACGGUCCUGUUGCCUCGGUAAGGUUUGGCUGAAUGCGGGAUAUAAUGCGGCUCCCUCACUACCAAAGCCAUUCGCUCUCCAGCUACCAUUCAGACACGAGGAACCGCGCAGGCACCAAAUACAAAAACGGAAUAUAAUGCGGCUCCCUCACUACCUAAGCCAUUCGUCCUCCAGCUACCAAAGAAGCAGGACGUCCUGCUCCGCUAAAGAAGGCUCAUCAGAUGAGCUGAAAUCUGGAUAUGGAAAAGCUAUAAGAAACUGCCUGUCAUGAACACGUCUACAAAAGAAUAAAGGACAUUAAUAAGGAAUAAAAACACGUCCAAGAUAAUAAAUGUUCAAUCAGCAGUCACAUCUAAUGAAACACAACUACGGUCUUGUUACCCCAAGAGUGUUGACAACGUAGGGUUAGUAAAGUGCCGGAGACAAGCCCCUCCUGCGUUGUGAGCGCCCCGCCCACCACGGCGGUGACGCCAAUCCACCUGUACGGCCAUUAGGUGGAUGCGGCCCUCAAUAGUGUACGUAUCCGUGGGAGGCUAUAAGAAAAAAAUAAAACAAAAGAAAAAUUAACAAAAUAAAUAUCUGAAAAAAAUGAAAAAAAAAA